UGGGGAAUAUUGGACAAUGGGCGAAAGCCUGAUCCAGCCAUGCCGCGUGUGUGAAGAAGGUCUUCGGAUUGUAAAGCACUUUAAGUUGGGAGGAAGGGCAGUAAGCGAAUACCUUGCUGUUUUGACGUUACCGACAGAAUAAGCACCGGCUAACUCUGUGCCAGCAGCCGCGGUAAUACAGAGGGUGCAAGCGUUAAUCGGAAUUACUGGGCGUAACGCGCGCGUAGGUGGUUCGUUAAGUUGAAUGUGAAAGCCCCGGGCUCAACCUGGGAACUGCAUCCAAAACUGGCGAGCUAGAGUAGGGCAGAGGGUGGUGGAAUUUCCUGUGUAGCGGUGAAAUGCGUAGAUAUAGGAAGGAACACCAGUGGCGAAGGCGACCACCUGGGCUCAAACUGACACUGAGGUGCGAAAGCGUGGGGAGCAAACAGG
rnacentral:rRNA from 1 species